rnacentral:rRNA from 1 species
GACGGAGGAUGCAAGCGUUAUCCGGAAUGAUUGGGCGUAAAGCGUCCGCAGGUGGCAGUUCAAGUCUGCUGUCAAAGACCGGGGCUUAACUUCGGAAAGGCAGUGGAAACUGAACAGCUAGAGUAUGGUAGGGGCAGAGGGAAUUCCUGGUGUAGCGGUGAAAUGCGCAGAUAUCAGGAAGAACACCCGUGGCGAAGGCGGCUCUCUGGAACGCAACUGACGCUGAGACGCGAAAGCGUGGGGAGCAAACAGG